UUUUUUUUUUUUUUUUUAACUGUCCUUCCUCUUUUUGUGACCUAUGCUGAUUUACAUUUUGAGUGGAGUCGGGGAGGCAUCCUAUUUGGACCUCGUGAAGGAGCUGAGUAAGAGUUUGCCUCAAACUUCUCUUUCAUCAUUUUUUAAACCUCCAUUUCAACUCUUUUGCUACUACACAAUUAGGAAACAACUUUCUGACUUUUCUGUCAAGAAGACCCAAGAAGGGAAGUUAAUAGGAAGCCUUCGGUUCACUCUCAGUAGGUGUCUACAAUUCUCAUUAGCUAGAGUUUUAAUUUCCUUAGUUGCAAACCCAUGGGCUAUUAGCUACUGACCCGGCAGGCUGACUCUAUUUUCUUCACUGCACACUCCUCCAGAUCAUUCUUUUAAUAGGCUUCCGCUUUUCGUCAUGCGUUAGCACGGCUCUCUGUUUCUUGCUUCUCACACUCUGGGUAGCUCCACUAUGCUUCUACACAUGAAGACAAUCUUGGCAGCUCUCCUCUUCCCAGUUCUGCAGGCUCUUAAUCAAUCACUCUCUUCAUCCUGAACAAUUCAUCUUUACAAAACCUUUGGAAGUCAUAUGUGGAAUAUAAAGGAAGAAAGAGAACGGAAGAAAAAAAUGAAAUUUGAAAGUGGUGUCAAAAGAAAACCAUUGAAAACUGCAUUGAAAAAUCAGGGGAAGAAAUGAGGAAAGGUGAAAAGCAGAUGCUGCUGGAAAGACUUAAGAAGAGAUUAUAAGAACAAGUCUGCAGCAUGCAAACUGGAGAAAAGAAAAAGAGAAGAAAUGAUUAUAAGUGUUAAAUAAGUAAUAUGCUUGAGUUCUCUGAGGUAGGGAUAAUUAGAUUUUUUAAAACAUCCUUUAUAUCCUCAAAUUCUUCAUUUUAUAAAAAUAUACAUGAAAAUAAUUAUAUCAGGUUUACAGACUCUCCAAAAUUGUCAAAAAUAGCCAGAGCUAAUGGUAGGGAAAAAGAGAAAGUACUAUUCUUCUAGAUUAGAAUUAUUUUUUGACUCUUAAUAGUAGGCAAGUGGGUAAGAAAGCCCCCAAACUCAAAGUUAAGUCAAACUUUAGACAAGGAUAUUGGAGAGGAGGAAAGGAAAUUGUAUUUUCCUUCACAGUGACAAAAUAAUCCUCCCACGAUAUAAGAAGAUAUCCAUGCUACUCUGAAUCUCAUUCACUAAAGAUUAAAACAAAACAAAACAAAACAAAACAAAAACACAGGCCAGGCGCAGUGGCUCAUGCCAGUGGCUCAUGCCAGCAUUUUGGGAGGCCAAGAUGGGUGGAUCACGAGGUCCGGAGUUCAAGACCAGCCUGGCCAAGAUGGCAAAACCCCAUCUCUAUUAAAAAUACGAAAAUUAGCCGGGCAUGGUGGUGGGUGCCUGUAAUCCUAGCUACUCAGGAGGCUGAGGGAAAGAAUUGCUUGAACCCGGGAGGUGGAGCUUGCAGUGAGCCGAGAUCGCGCCAUUGCACUCCAGUCUGGGCGACAGAGCGAGAC
rnacentral:lncRNA from 1 species